GUACUUGCUUCAAUAGUGUAUAUACUAAAAUCGGAAUAAUACAGGGAAUAUUUUCAUGGCCACUGUACAAGGAUGACAUGCAGAUUACUGAAGGGUUCUAUGUUGUU